rnacentral:rRNA from 1 species
GCUGAGGCACGAAAGCGUGGCGAUAGAACAGGAUUAGAUACCCUGUUAUUCCACGCCGUAAACGAUAGAUGACUAUCCGUCGCGAAUAGACUGUCGGUGACCAAGCGAAAGCGAUAAGUCAUCCACCUGGGGAGUACGUCGGCAACGAUGAAACUCAAAGGAAUUGACGGGGGCCCGCACAAGCGGAGGAACAUGUGGUUUAAUUCGAUGAUACGCGAGGAACCUUACCCGGGCUCGAACGCUACGGGACGGACCCAGAGAUGUGAUCUUCUUCCGGGGCCAUGGGCGAGGUGCCGCAUGGUUGUUCUCAGCUCGCCCCGAGGGGUCUCGUUUCAAGUCCCAUAACGCGCGCAACCCUUGUUCUCAGUUCCCCUCAGGUAAAGCUGCGGUCUCUGGCGACACCCCCACCGCAAGGUGAGGGGAGGGGGGGGAUGACGUCAACUCCGCGCGCCCCUUAUCUCGGGGGCGACACGUGUGUCACAAUGGCGGCUACAGAGGGAAGCUACCCGGCGACGGGAUGCGGAUCUCGAAAAGCCGUCUCAGUUCGGAUUGGAGUCUGCAACUCGACUCCGCGAAGUUGGAUUCGCUAGUA